UCAAAGACUUCACACCUGGAUCACUUUUAAACAGUUCAUCCCUUCAAUGGAGGGUUUUCCAAUGUUUUCAACCCAGUUUCAAGUUUCCUUCAAUUCACGUUGCAGGACUUCGAAUCAAUCAUUAGUAUUGUAAUUACAGCUAAUAAUAAUGGCAUUUAAGAUAUUUUGCAUAGUAGCUAUGUAGCUUAAUAUUACCAUACAUGCUCAUUACAGUUGUAGAAACUUCUAAGCAACUCAAUGGCACUCCUUUUUUACUUCUACGUUUAUCUCUCUUGCCCGAGCACAGCUCCCAUGGUUCUUCGAUCAGUGCUGAAUUCAGGAGUAUAAGACUCUUGGAGUCCAAAGUUUGUCACAAAGGUUAUGUGGUGACACGGGGAUGAAAAUGCUUCUCAGAAAGUAAUGACAUGACAACUUCGUGAACCUGGCAUGAGAUGUGCAAGUUAAUCAAAAGGUGGCAAAGGAAGGAAGUUAUUACACUUUCAGAAUAUUUUGCCAAUUUGUCAAGACAGAUUUGUGAGGCCAUUAUUUAGCAAAGAUAUCAAAGGAAGAGAAUAGCAAAAGGCGAGUCAAAUGUGUUACUUCAUAAAGUUUGCUACGUACUCUUUGCUUUAAGAAAGAUCUAAUAAUUUGGGAGGGUCAUGGUUUAUUGGAGAGGCUGCUGAAGAUGAUGAAUCGGAAGAUAGGAAGAUGUUAUCAAAGAAGAUGAAGAUGAGGAUGUCAAGGAUGACGAAAAGUGACAGAAAAGAAGAAGAAGUUGGGGUUUCGUCUAAUGUACUUUGCCGCUCCGACUAUUCUCCAUUAAGGUUCCAUAAAUUUCAUCCAGGUUUCGACACAAGAACGUGAGAGUGGUGCUAAUCAGCGACAAAGAGUUAAAGUGUCGGAUUGAGAAUAUAUGAUACUGCAGUACAAUUUCAUAUGAUAAACUGAUACAAUUUUAAUCAUGAACUUUGCAGGAGGCAAAGUAGCUACAUCACAUGCUUGUACCAUUGCAGUAUCUUCUCAAAUGUGGAUGGUCUCGAGACAAAGCAUGGUGUUGAGGUGGAGCUACGAGCUUUCUGCAAUGAUGUCUUGAAGGCUUUCAAUAGCAUUGCACACAAGUCUCAUGUGACAUUAUUAUCUCCAUCAACUGAACAAAGUCUGCUACCUCCGAAUCUUGGUUCAAUGGUUAGGCCGCCUUAAGGGUAACUGGAUUUCCCAUUGGAGUAAGAACCAAUAAGAUAGGAGUCCGCGUAUUGUCUUCUUGAACUAAGCAUUUGAGUAUAGAUAAGAAGGGCCUUAGAAGGAAAGAUGAACAACAAUCAGUUUAAGUUCAUACUUUGUUGUCUUCACAUUAUUUCAUCUUAGCUUUCUGGUCUUAUUGUAGAGUAUCUUUUGUUUUAUGAAACUCAUCAGAUUUGCUCUCCAUCGCAUCAAAAUUGUUUUAAAGAGUAUAACGUUGAAACUAAACAAGUAUAAGCUAUAUUUUCAGGUUUGAUUUAUAAAUAUUGUAAUGGUUUCU